CUGGGCACAGUUCACUCAAAAACCAUUAACUAUAGUUAAUUUGUACUGUUUUAAACUUAAAAAAAUUAAACUAUUUAUACUAAAAACCUAUUGUACUGUUUAAUGGUUCAAUUUAAAAAUACUGAACUUCUUACACAGUUAGCUAUUAAUUGGGGUUAACUGAAGUUUAGGUCAUUUCUUCUCAGUCACAAUUUUCUCCCUUUCUCAACUCGCCGCCAGUCAAAUGCCAUCAAAGGCUCGUUGUUGAAGGUUUGUUGCCGCCACCGUCGAUUCUUCGCUGCCGCCAUCGAAGGCUCACCUCACCAAUAAAGGCUUUUCUGUACUCUAUCGUCGUCGAACUGUCGAAGGCUCUACCACCAUCGUCGAAGGUUCGUUGUCGUUGAAGGAUCGUCCCCGUUGAAGGCUCACCGCUAUCGGAGGUUUUUCUGCUC
rnacentral:lncRNA from 1 species